rnacentral:rRNA from 1 species
UACGAGGUGAUGCAAGCGUUAUCCGGAAUUAUUGGGCGUAAAGCGUUUGUAGGCGGGCGAGUGUGUUUAAUGUUAAAUCUUAAAGCUCAACUUUGAAAUUGCGUUAAAAACUGCUUGUCUUGAGUAUGGUAGGGGUAAAGGGAAUUCCCAGUGUAGCGGUGAAAUGCGUAGAUAUUGGGAAGAACACUAAACAGCGAAGGCACUUUACUAGGCUAAUACUGACGCUGAGAAACGAAAGGUAAGGUAGCGAAACGGAUUAGAUACCCGUGUAGUCUUACCCGUAAACUAUGGACACUAAACGGUAAAUUUUUAAUUUACUGUUAAAGCUAACGCGUUAAGUGUCCCGCCUGGGGAGUAUGCUUGCAAAAGUGAAACUCAAAGGAAUUGACGGGGGCCCGCACAAGCGGUGGAGCAUGUGGUUUAAUUCGACGGUACACGAAGAACCUUACCAGGAUUUGACAUGCUAGAUAGUUGCUUGAAAGAGUAACGUGCCGUAAGGAAUCUAGACACAGGUGGUGCAUGGCUGUCGUCAGUUCGUGUUGUGAAAUGUUGGGUUAAGUCCCGCAACGAACGCAACCCUUGUCUUUAGUUAUUUUCUAAAGAGACUGCCUGUAAUAAACAGGAGGAAGGUAAGGAUGAGGUCAAGUCAUCAUGCCCCUUAUGUCCUGGGCUACACACGUGCUACAAUGGGAAAGACAAUGAGCUGCAAAUCUGUAAAUUUAAGCAAAUCUCUUAAACUUUCUCGUAGUUCGGAUUGUGGGCUGCAACUCGCCCACAUGAAGUUGGAAUCGCUAGUAAUCGCCAGUCAGCUAUAUGGCGGUGAAUCCGUUCCCGGGCCU